GAUGAACGCUGGCGGCGUGCUUAACACAUGCAAGUCGAACGGUGAACGAGGGAGCUUGCUCCCUCCGGAUCAGUGGCGAACGGGUGAGUAACACGUGGGCAACCUGCCCCUCACUCUGGGAUAACUCCGGGAAACCGGGGCUAAUACCGGAUACGACCUGGUGCGACAUCGCACCGGGUGGAAAGAACUUCGGUGAGGGAUGGGCCCGCGGCCUAUCAGCUUGUUGGUGGGGUAACGGCCCACCAAGGCGACGACGGGUAGCCGGCCUGAGAGGGAGACCGGCCACACUGGGACUGAGACACGGCCCAGACUCCUACGGGAGGCAGCAGUGGGGAAUAUUGCGCAAUGGGCGAAAGCCUGACGCAGCGACGCAGCGUGAGGGACGAAGGCCUUCGGGUUGUAAACCUCUUUCAGCGGGGACGAAGCGAAAGUGACGGUACCCGCAGAAGAAGCACCGGCUAACUACGUGCCAGCAGCCGCCGUAAUAC
rnacentral:rRNA from 1 species